UUUAGGCUGACUGUACAUUCUUUUAGAAUGAGACAGAUGUCAUGCACCAUAUCACACAGAGUACCAUGACAUCCAUCCAUCAACUCAUCUAUCAAGCAACUUCUGCUUAUCAGACACCGGGUCGUGGGGGCAGCAAGCCUUUCCUUUUCUCAGCGUCUUCCUCCAGAUCCUCUGGGGAAAUUCCGAUGUGUACUCAGGCCAGCAGAGAGAUGUGAUCUCUCCGGUGUGUCCUGGGUCUUCCCUGGGGUCUCUGUACGAAGGGACAAGCCCAGAACACCUCCCCAAGGAUGAUGUGGAAAGACUCCUCUGUGGGCUCCCACUUGCAGGAGAGCCUAAAAAGAACUGCUUUGGGUGGCAGUUGAAGGAGUGGACCCUGGUGGCCCAACCCAAGGUCAUGGGGGAAAAAAAAAACUGCCACCAACAAACAUAAUAGUACUCUAGAUUCAUUGGAAAUGGUGGAUCAAUGGCUACCUUGAAAGCAUCAUUUCUUCCAAAGGCUCUUCAAACAAUAAUAACGUGAUCUGGAUCAGAGAAACCAAGUGAUAAGCCAUAAAAGCAUUAAGCUGC